rnacentral:ncRNA from 1 species
GCCGGUCCUCGGUAGUGGCUCCCGGGUGGUUCCGCCCCCGGUGGCUUCGAUCGAAGACCGGC